rnacentral:rRNA from 1 species
AUUGAACGCUGGCGGCAGGCCUAACACAUGCAAGUCGAGCGGAUGAAGGGAGCUUGCUCCUGGAUUCAGCGGCGGACGGGUGAGUAAUGCCUAGGAAUCUGCCUGGUAGUGGGGGAUAACGUCCGGAAACGGGCGCUAAUACCGCAUACGUCCUGAGGGAGAAAGUGGGGGAUCUUCGGACCUCACGCUAUCAGAUGAGCCUAGGUCGGGUUAGCUAGUUGGUGGGGUAAAGGCCUACCAAGGCGACGAUCCGUAACUGGUCUGAGAGGAUGAUCAGUCACACUGGAACUGAGACACGGUCCAGACUCCUACGGGAGGCAGCAGUGGGGAAUAUCGGACAAUGGGCGAAAGCCUGAUCCAGCCAUGCCGCGUGUGUGAAGAAGGUCUUCGGAUUGUAAAGCACUUUAAGUUGGGAGGAAGGGCAGUAAGUUAAUACCUUGCUGUUUUGACGUUACCAACAGAAUAAGCACCGGCUAACUUCGUG